GAGGGUAUACCUUAGUGGUAAAGUGCAUGCCUAGCAUGCACGGGGUCCUGGGAGGUCCUGGGUUCAAUCCCCAGUAUUCUCC
rnacentral:tRNA from 1 species